rnacentral:piRNA from 1 species
GCAGCUCCACUACCACUGCAGCCGACCGC